CUCUCCUCCCAUUCUCUCUGCUUAUGACUCAACAGCACCUGAAACAACAGUGUACUAGGAGAGGGGUCCUGGCUUGGAGGCCAGUAAAGACUGCAAAGAGCAUAUGGUCCCCACAUCUGUACCCUGCAGUGGGGAAGAAACCUUGACACACACCUUGAUUCACUUCAUCUUCCUAAGGAGUCCUAGGCCACUGUUGUUCCCCAGACUGUUUACAACUGCUUUAGAAAGGGAGGAUUUGUAUCCACCACAGACAGUGCUGGGUUGGUGGACGUCUAUAUGCUGGCUCACAUUGCCAUUCCUGAUGAUCUGACAGCAGAGGAAUUUGAGGCCUUCUGGCAGUCAUGUGGAGACAGCAGGUGAGCUCACUGAUGUGGAACUUCUCAAGACAGUCACAGAUGCUAAGCACCCACCGCUUGAAGAGGCACAAGAGGAUAGCGUAUCACGAGAACCUGAAGAGCCUUCUCUUCAAGAAUAGAUGUGCUGUGAACAUUUUCCACAGGAUAUGCCAGAACUGUGGCUUUGAAAUUGGCUAUGAAGCUGAGCAAAAACAGAGGGAUUUACAGAUCAAGGUGGUGAAUUGUAAAAAGCAGACAACUAGGACAAUUAAAAAAAAUUACUUGCUGUUUCAUUUUGUGCGACAUACCUGGAGCAUUGAUAAGUAUAAUGACAUUUUUUUAUUUUACACACAUCUGUCCUGUAAACAGCUGGCAGGGAGGGAACAAAGUCUGAAUGUGAACAGACUUUACCGUUUAUUUCAGACAACUGCAUAAGGUAUGUUUGCAGUACUAAAGGAAAUUGUCUUUUUAUGUUUGUUUUCAACACUGUAUCAAACAAAUUUUGUUGACUAAUAUGGUGGGCUAUAUUGAUUGAUCAAUAGAUAAAUAUAUGCUGGGCUGUAUCUGUCACUAGAUGUUGGUAAAUCACAUUACCAACAUACUAAUAAAAAUAUAUAUGGUGUAGAUAAUGUAACGGGGUGCUCACCGUGCCCCACUGGGUUCAGCCUCCUAGCCACAUUCCCCAAUGAGUAAGGAGCACUCCAAGCUGGUGUAACACCUGUGCUCUUUAUUCCUGUGUCCAGUCCCCACCACCAAGAUCCAACUAUUUACAGAUUUACAGGUUUGGCCUAGCACAGGCCUCAGUGGAAACAGGCUCCUGAAUCCUUCUGAGCCUACUCUUCCCUCCUGAUCCCCAUCCCCCAACUCACUUCCUCCAAAGCUUUUAGCCCUCUGUUAACGAGGCUGGCAGGUGUGGUCAGUUUCCAGGCCAGUCC